GGAUCAGUUGGUCGGUCGUGCCUCGGUACGUACUGGUCAAAUUGAUUCCUACCUUCUGACGAACCACGAUGUUAUUAAUUUGGUGUCGCGGGAAAUCAGGGCUGUUACUUUGAAAAAAUUAGAGUGUUUAAAGCAAGCUAACGCUUGAAUACAUUAGCAUGGAAUAAUGAAAUAGGACGUUCGAUCCUAUUUUGUUGGUUUCUAGGAUUACCGUA
rnacentral:rRNA from 1 species